CACACACCUCCACGAGCAGAGAGCUCUGUGUGAGAAGGCACGGAUACGGUAACGGCAGGUGAUUACGCGAGCGACGUAAACAUAUUAGACGUGACAAAUGUGGUGAGGCGACGGUGGGGGUGAAAACAACAAACGGCGAAAGUCGGUCGAGUGACGGAAGAAACCGUUUAAAAGAGCGUCGUCUGCGACAUCACAUCGCACACCGACCAACAAGUCUUCUCCAACCACAUCAGCGGUACAACGCCUCCGAUCGUAAGAAAAGAUGAAGGUUCUCAUUCUCCUUGCUUGUGUAGCAUUUGCUGCGGCAUCUAACUAUAGCGGUCAGAGCUAUGGUGGAUACGGAGGCGGAGGCGGCGGUCGUCUAGGAGGAUACGGAGGCGGAUACGGCGGUAGUCUAGGAGGAUACGGAGGCGGAUACGGCGGUAGUCUAGGAGGAUACGGAGGCGGAU